GCCCCUAGGGAGUGCGGAGCCAAGCGAUCCGGCUCCCCGCUGCGGUCGCCCAUGCCGGAGGUGAAAAGAGAGAGGUUUAAGAGAAUCCAUUUUGAAGUGAAGGAGCCAAGACUGUGGGUGGAUCUGAAACAACCUGGCAUGUUUGGGAAACUGCCAGGAGUUGAGCAAGGAUGAAGAAGAGUCUAGGAAAGGAAAAGGAGCCACAGACAAUAAGCCAGAUUCCCCUAUAAGCCAAGAUGUGUUCUUUUUGAUCAGCUCCAGCAUUCUUGUGAUGACACACAAAAAUGUCAACAAUAAUGAACGUCACUCAGCAAGACACCACCACCUGUCAACACAAAACACAGCUGUGAGAGAGACACUGAUAUAUCAAGUUACGAAACUUUACUGAGU